rnacentral:rRNA from 1 species
CCCCGGCGAGGGGAGUGAAAAAGAACCUGAAACCGUGUACGUACAAGCAGUGGGAGCCUCUUAAUGGGGUGACUGCGUACCUUUUGUAUAAUGGGUCAGCGACUUAUAUUCUGUAGCAAGGUUAACCGAAUAGGGGAGCCGAAGGGAAACCGAGUCUUAACUGGGCGUUAAGUUGCAGGGUAUAGACCCGAAACCCGGUGAUCUAGCCAUGGGCAGGUUGAAGGUUGGGUAACACUAACUGGAGGACCGAACCGACUAAUGUUGAAAAAUUAGCGGAUGACUUGUGGCUGGGGGUGAAAGGCCAAUCAAACCGGGAGAUAGCUGGUUCUCCCCGAAAGCUAUUUAGGUAGCGCCUCGUGAAUUCAUCUCCGGGGGUAGAGCACUGUUUCGGCAAGGGGGUCAUCCCGACUUACCAACCCGAUGCAAACUGCGAAUACCGGAGAAUGUUAUCACGGGAGACACACGGCGGGUGCUAACGUCCGUCGUGAAGAGGGAAACAACCCAGACCGCCAGCUAAGGUCCCAAAGUCAUGGUUAAGUGGGAAACGAUGUGGGAAGGCCCAGACAGCCAGGAUGUUGGCUUAGAAGCAGCCAUCAUUUAAAGAAAGCGUAAUAGCUCACUGGUCGAGUCGGCCUGCGCGGAAGAUGUAACGGGGCUAAACCAUGCACCGAAGCUGCGGCAGCGACACUAUGUGUUGUUGGGUAGGGGAGCGUUCUGUAAGCCUGUGAAGGUGGCCUGUGAGGGUUGCUGGAGGUAUCAGAAGUGCGAAUGCUGACAUAAGUAACGAUAAAGCGGGUGAAAAGCCCGCUCGCCGGAAGACCAAGGGUUCCUGUCCAACGUUAAUCGGGGCAGGGUGAGUCGACCCCUAAGGCGAGGCCGAAAGGCGUAGUCGAUGGGAAACAGGUUAAUAUUCCUGUACUUGGUGUUACUGCGAAGGGGGGACGGAGAAGGCUAUGUUGGCCGGGCGACGGUUGUCCCGGUUUAAGCGUGUAGGCUGGUUUUCCAGGCAAAUCCGGAAAACCAAGGCUGAGGCGUGAUGACGAAGCACUACGGUGCUGAAGCGACAAAUGCCCUGCUUCCAGGAAAAGCCUCUAAGCAUCAGGUAACAUCAAAUCGUACCCCAAACCGACACAGGUGGUCAGGUAGAGAAUACCAAGGCGCUUGAGAGAACUCGGGUGAAGGAACUAGGCAAAAUGGUGCCGUAACUUCGGGAGAAGGCACGCUGAUAUGUAGGUGAAGCGACUUGCUCGUGGAGCUGAAAUCAGUCGAAGAUACCAGCUGGCUGCAACUGUUUAUUAAAAACACAGCACUGUGCAAACACGAAAGUGGACGUAUACGGUGUGACGCCUGCCCGGUGCCGGAAGGUUAAUUGAUGGGGUUAGCGGUAACGCGAAGCUCUUGAUCGAAGCCCCGGUAAACGGCGGCCGUAACUAUAACGGUCCUAAGGUAGCGAAAUUCCUUGUCGGGUAAGUUCCGACCUGCACGAAUGGCGUAAUGAUGGCCAGGCUGUCUCCACCCGAGACUCAGUGAAAUUGAACUCGCUGUGAAGAUGCAGUGUACCCGCGGCAAGACGGAAAGACCCCGUGAACCUUUACUAUAGCUUGACACUGAACAUUGAGCCUUGAUGUGUAGGAUAGGUGGGAGGCUUUGAAGUGUGGACGCCAGUCUGCAUGGAGCCGACCUUGAAAUACCACCCUUUAAUGUUUGAUGUUCUAACGUUGGCCCGUAAUCCGGGUUGCGGACAGUGUCUGGUGGGUAGUUUGACUGGGGCGGUCUCCUCCUAAAGAGUAACGGAGGAGCACGAAGGUUGGCUAAUCCUGGUCGGACAUCAGGAGGUUAGUGCAAUGGCAUAAGCCAGCUUGACUGCGAGCGUGACGGCGCGAGCAGGUGCGAAAGCAGGUCAUAGUGAUCCGGUGGUUCUGAAUGGAAGGGCCAUCGCUCAACGGAUAAAAGGUACUCCGGGGAUAACAGGCUGAUACCGCCCAAGAGUUCAUAUCGACGGCGGUGUUUGGCACCUCGAUGUCGGCUCAUCACAUCCUGGGGCUGAAGUAGGUCCCAAGGGUAUGGCUGUUCGCCAUUUAAAGUGGUACGCGAGCUGGGUUUAGAACGUCGUGAGACAGUUCGGUCCCUAUCUGCCGUGGGCGCUGGAGAACUGAGGGGGGCUGCUCCUAGUACGAGAGGACCGGAGUGGACGCAUCACUGGUGUUCGGGUUGUCAUGCCAAUGGCACUGCCCGGUAGCUAAAUGCGGAAGAGAUAAGUGCUGAAAGCAUCUAAGCACGAAACUUGCCCCGAGAUGAGUUCUCCCUGAGACUUAGAGUCUCCUGAAGGAACGUUGAAGACGACGACGUUGAUAGGCCGGGUGUGUAAGCGCAGCGAUGCGUUGAGCUAACCGGUACUAAUGAACCGUGAGGCUUAACCUU